rnacentral:snRNA from 1 species
UAAAGAUGAAAAGGACUUUG